ensembl:lncRNA
GCCAGACCUGUGCCCUCAUUGCUCUCAAAAAUAAAAAGAGAUGUCUGGAAAUUAAAGCAAGUGUCUGAGAUUAUACUGUUUUCUUGCAUCUUGACUCUUACAGCUAAGGACAAACGUGAUGCUGUUGCCUGUGUUUUCCUUAGAACCACAGAAUGGCUUGAGUUGGAAGGGACCUCAGUCAUUAUCCAGUUCCACUCCUACACCAUGGGCAGGGUUGCCAACUUACUCAGGCAUCUUUAUGGGCACAGAGCAGCAUAUGCCUCUGCCCUUCACAAUGACUUUCUUCAAGCACUUGAAUUGAUCUUUUUUCCAGAUGAAGACAUAUACCAUUCUGAACCACAUUUGAGGGUGUUUCCAACUAAGCUUGGUGAGGGAUGAAGCUAUAAGGACUCAUUGCCAAGAAAUGCUAGUGGAUACACACCUUCACCCCUCUUGCAGAGAACUAUUGAUGGGCUCACGUGGCUGAGAUAUUUAUGAAGAAACUUCUUGUACAAGGAAUGACAGCUGGGAAACAUCAUCAGCUGUGAUUCAGGCUCAUCUGCUCAGCCAACAAAGCAGCCAGUAACUCCAGGGUUUGAAGACAUCUGAUUUGAGGUUUUGAGGACAUUCCUUUAAGCAUUUGAUCCAAAACCACAGCUACAGAGCUUGGAAUACUCUAGUAAGUCUAGCACAUAACAUUUAAACAAUAUAAAAC